rnacentral:rRNA from 1 species
CCUACGGGAGGCUGCAGUGAGGAAUAUUGGUCAAUGGGCGAGAGCCUGAACCAGCCAAGUCGCGUGAGGGAGUACUGCCCUAUGGGUUGUAAACCUCUUUUGUCGGGGAGCAAAAGCCGGACGUGUCCGGCUGUGAGAGUACCCGAAGAAAAAGCAUCGGCUAACUCCGUGCCAGCAGCCGCGGUAAUAUGGAGGAUGCGGGCGUUAUCCGGAUUUAUUGGGUUUAAAGGGUGCGCAGGCGGAUUUUUAAGUCAGCGGUAAAAUCGUGGGGCUCAACCCCAUCCAGCCGUUGAAACUGGGGAUCUAGAGUGUGCGAGAGGUAUGCGGAAUGCGUGGUGUAGCGGUGAAAUGCAUAGAUAUCACGCAGAACCCCGAUUGCGAAGGCAGCAUACCGGUGCACAACUGACGCUCAGGCACGAAAGCGUGGGUAUCGAACAGGAUUAGAUACCCUUGUAGUC